GGCCGACUAGCUCAGUUGGUUAGAGCGUCGUGCUAAUAACGCGAAGGUCUUGGGUUCGCUCCCCAUGUUGGCCA
rnacentral:tRNA from 1 species